rnacentral:lncRNA from 1 species
CAAAGGGUGAAGGGAAAGGCGAUAUAAACAAACCACAUUUCAUUCUACUGACUUCUACUUUCUCUCCACAGCAAUACUGAACAACGCCACCUCAGUGGGUCUGACAGAAGACAGAAGAAUUAAAGUUUAAUUGUGCAUUUCCAAGAACAUGUCAAUGCUAUAAAGGACUUACUAUACUUUCAGCCAGAGCUUCCAAUACUAUAUGAAAUAGGACUGGUGAAAGAAGGCAUCCUUGACCCCACAGAACUACAAACAACUAUUAGAGAAUAAUAUUAAUAUCUCUACUCGCAUAAACUAGAAAAUCUGGAAGAGAUGGAUAAAUUCAUGUACACAUAUACCCUCCCAAAACUGAACCAGGAAGAAAUCAAAUCCCUGAAUAGACCAAUAAUGAAUUCUGAAAUUGAGGCAGUGAUAAAUAGCCAACCAACUAAUUAAGAAAAACCAAGGUCAGAUGGAUUCACAGCUGCGUUCUACCAGAGGUACAAAGAAGAACUGAUACCAUUCUUACUGAAACUAUUCCAAGCAAUUGAAAAGGAGGGAUUCCUCCCUAAUUCACUCUAUAAAGCCAGCAUCAUCCUGAUACCAAAACCUGGCAGAGAUAAAACAAAAGUUCAGACCAAUAUCCUUGAUGAAUAUUGAUGCAAAAAUUCUCAACAAAAUACCUGCAAACUGAAUCCAGCAGCACAUCCAAAAGUUUAUCCACCAUGAUCAAGUUGUCUUCAUGCAACGUUGGUUCAAUAUAUGCAAAUCAAUAAAUGUGAUUCAUCACAUAAGUAGAACUAAAGAGAAAAACUACAUGGUUAUCUCGGUAAAUGCAGAAAAGACCUUCGAUAAAAAUCAACGUCCCUUCAGGUUAAAAAGUCUCAAUUAGGCAGUGCACGGUGGUUCACGCCUGUAAUCCCAACACUUUGGGAGACCAAGGCAGGAGGAUCAUCUGAAGUCGGGAGUUCGAGAUCAGCCUGACAAACAUGGAGAAACCCCAUCUUUACUAAAAAUACAAAAAAUUAUCCAGGUGUAGUGGUGCAUGCCUGUAAUCCCAGCCUCUCGGGAGGCUGAGGCAAGAGAAUCGCUUGAACACAGGAGGUGGAGGUUGUGGUGAGCCAAGAUCACGCCGUUGCACUACAGCCUGGGCAACAAAAACUCCGUCUCAAAAAAAAAAAAGAAAAAAGCCUCAAUUAACUAGGUAUUUAAAGGACAGGGACGUACUUCAAAAUAAUAAGGGACAUGUAUGACAAACGCACAGCCAAUAUUAUACUGAAUGGGCAAACGCUGGAAGCAUUCCCCUUGAAAACUGGCACAAGAGCUGUUUAAAUACAUUAUGAUUGGCUGUAUUAAAUUUGAGGAAUGACACACAGUUUUUUUUUGGUUUUUUUUUUUUUUUUUUUGAGACGGAGUCUUGCUCUUUCUCCCAUGCCGGAGUGCAGUGGCGCUAUCUCGGCUCACUGCAAGCUCCGCCUUCCGGCUUCACGCCAUUCUCCUGCCUCAGCCUCCCGAGUAGCAGGGACCACAGGCGCCCGCCACUGCGCCCGGCUAAUUUUUUGUAUUUUUAGUAGAGACGGGGUUUCACCGAUGACAUACAGUUUUUAAGAGAAUGAGAUCAAAGAUGGAAAACUUUUGAGGAUAGCGGAGUUAAAAAUCAAGUUUCAAAGCACAAAUUGUGUGUGCCUAGAAAAUAGCCACAAUUCUGUCAUUCAGAUUCUUAAUAUGAUUAUUUCCAGGGAGCGAGAAACAGCUGGUUCAGAUCAAAGGGGUAGUGGAGUACAUGCCAGAAAAUGCAUUUUACUUUUGACUUUAUUUAUGUUUGAAAUGAUUAAAUUAACUGUUUUCAUAACAAACAGGACUUACCAUUAAACAAUGGGGAAGAAAAAAAGCUUAUAGAGAUUGCUGGGGUUUUUUUUAUUAAACAUCUCUUAAAGUAAAAAAUUCAGUGGGUUUUUAUUGUUGAAUGAAAAUUUAUCUAUGUCUUAUAAAAAAUAAUGGGGAUUAUACUUCCUCCUAUGCCUCAGGGACUAAUCUUCACCAAAUCAUUUAUUUGCAGUCUGAAAUUAUAGCAUUCAUUUAUAUUACUGAGCUCCUUCUAUGUUCCAGGAAUUGUUAUGGAGCCCCUAGUGUGCUCCAGUCAUUAUUUUGUGUGCUUGAGAUAAAGCAAAAAACAAGAUUGGCAAGAGGCAAAAUUUCCUGUCCUCAUGGAACUUAUAUUUUAGGGGAGGAGUGAUUAAAAAUAUGACUGUAACAGACACUUACAGGACAUUCUACCCAACAACUACAGAUUAAAAGUAAAAGGAUGAAGAAAGAUGCACCAUGCUAACACUACUUUUAAAGCUGAAGUAUUUUUAUUAGUUUCAGACAAACUAUACUGACUUCAGAAACAAAAAACUAAUUAGAGAUAAUAAGCAGCUUUACGAAAGAUAAAGGAAUUGAUUUUCAAGAAUCCAAUACGAUUGUAGGUGUGUGUGUAACUAACAGUAUACCAUCAAAAUAUUUUAGAAAUAAAAGAAGAAGGCCGGGCGCGGCAGCUCAUUCUUGUAAUCCCAGCACUUUGGGAGGCCGAGGCGGGCAGUUCCUGAGGUCUGGAGUUCGAGACCAGCCUGACCAGCAUAGUGAAACCCCAUCUCUACUAAAAAUACAAAAAUUAUCCAGGCACAUGCCUGUAAUCCCCAGCUACUCAGGAGGCUGAGGCAAGAGAAUCACUUGAACCUGGGAGGUGGAGGUUGCAGUGAGCCAAGAUCGUGCCCCUGCACUCCAGUCUGGGCGACAGAGCCAGACUCUGCCUCAAAAUAAAUAAAUAAAGAAGAAAUAGACAAAUCAAUUAUUAUAAUCAAAGACUUCAACACCUUUCUUGAUAGAUAAAGCAGAUUUAAAAAAAAAAAAUGACCUGAACACCACUGUCAACUUGAUCUCCUGGGCCUUUGUAGGAUACUCCAUUUAACAAUAGCAUAAUACACAUUUUUCUGAAGCUCAAGCGGAUCACAUAUGAAGAUAACCACAUUCUGACCCAUAUAAUGCACUUAAACACAUUUAGAAGAAAAGAAAUCAUACAAAGUAUGCUGUCAGAACAUGAUAGCAUUAAACAGUAAAUCAAUAACAGAAGAAGAGCUAGAAAACCCUCAAGUAUUUGGAAAUUAACACACAUCUAAAUAACACAUGGGAUAAAAAAGAAGUCUCACGGAAAAUAAAGUAGAUAAAAAUAAAAAUUAACUUACCAAUAUUUGUUAGUGUAACAAAUAUAUUACACAGGGUCAAAUUUGUAGUCUUAAGUGCACACUUUAGAAAUAAAUAAAGAUUUGAAAUCAAUAAUUUAAACUUUUACCACACAAAAUCAAAGAAAAAUUUAAACUUAAAGAAUAUAGGGGAAAAUAAAUCAUAAAAAUUAACAUGGGAAUAGAAAACCAAAUGCUGCAUAUUCUCACUUAUAAGUGAGAGCUAAGCAUUAAGCGUACAUAGAUAUGAAGAUGGGUACAAUAGAACCUGGGGACUACUAGAGAGGAAGGGGAGAAAGAGGGGUGUCAGCUGAACAAUGACCUAUUGGAUUCUAUGCUCACUACCUGGACGAUGGUAUCAUCCAUACCCCAAACCUCAGUAUCACAUAGCAUACCCAUGUAACAAACCUCAUGAGUACCCCCAAAUCUAAAAUAAAAUUAAUUUUUUUAAAUUAAAGCAGAAAUGAAUGAAAUUGAAAACAGGAAAGCAAUAGAGAAAAUCAAUAAAACCAAAUGUUGGUUCCUUAAACAG